AGCUUAUUUAUCUUUUGCUUUUUUUAGUUUUCUCUUAUCUUUCCAAGUCUUUGGUGAUGAAUUAUCCCAAGAGAAAAUAGUUCCCACAAAUAAUGUGGUGUUUGGUGAGUUAGAAGGUUCAACAUCAAGUAACUUUGGUGAAAGGGAUACUCCUUGUGGCUUUUUUUAUCAUCCUAGUGCCCGUCGUGUUCGUUCGCCUCCGUCUCCGCCUCUACCUCCGUCUUGGCCACGACGUUCUCGGCCUUGUCCAAAGAAGGCAUGUCCUCCUCCGCCUCCACCAACGCUUCCACCAACGCCUCCUCGGCGUUGGCGUCGAUUCCAUGGUCCAAAUCCGAAUAAAAUUAAUGAAAAAGAUUUUCCAUUUGUACCUGAACCCAGGGCCUUGCCACCUUUGCCCAGACCUCCCUCUUACCCUUAGCUAGGGAACUAUGAAGGACCUUCAGAAUUUGAUGAUUGGAUCAUUGGAUGCAUAUUAUUCUCUAUAUCAAUAUAUAUUAAUCACGAGUAUAG